rnacentral:rRNA from 1 species
GGGGAUGACGUCAAAUCAUCAUGCCCCUUAUGACCUGGGCUACACACGUGCUACAAUGGGCGGUACAAAGGGUCGCGAACCCGCGAGGGGGAGCCAAUCCCAAAAAGCCGCUCUCAGUUCGGAUUGCAGGCUGCAACUCGCCUGCAUGAAGCCGGAAUCGCUAGUAAUCGCGGAUCAGCAUACCGCGGUGAAUACGUUCCCGGGCCUU